rnacentral:misc_RNA from 1 species
ACCAAAAAAAUUAAAAAAAAAAAAAAAAAUUCUGAGGCGACGUCACAUCCUGAAGUUUAUAUAGCUAUCGCUCCAACCGAGAGAGAAACAGAAACCUCAAUUUGGGGUCGAGAUACAAGGACCAAAUGACAUAUCGUCACCAGCCCCUCCUUAGCAGCCUCGUCGUACGCCCUUCCGUCAGCGACGGCGGAGACGGUGGCGGGGGAGGUCACGCUGCUGGUAGUGACUACGAGCCUGGCGAGGUCCGUCGGGAGCCUCCCCCUUAUUCUCGUCCUGAUCGAUACUCUGGCGAUCAUGGAUAUAGAAUACAUGCAGGUUCCAGUUCUCCUGUGCGCUGUAGGGAUCACCGAUACAGUUAUGAUUUUGAUCAUUCAGGGGGUCCACCUAGAGGUCGUGAAUUUGGUGGGAGGAGAGAUCCUGGUAGAUUUCGUGACUCUUCACCCCCUUAUGCUCGAGGAAGAGUUGGUGGCAGACCACCGGAGAACUGGAACCUGCAUGUAUUCUAUAUCCAUGCCCUGGCUCUUUUAGAGGAGAGGGUGUCAGUAGGAAUAAUCCCAAUGUAUGCCCAAGAGAAGGAGAUUGGAUUUGCUUU